rnacentral:lncRNA from 1 species
UUCAUUGCCAAGACUUUCGUAUUCUAAAUAAAUGGUAUACCACAAAACCUAUUUUUGUUAGAACCACACAUAAUCCUAUAGGCCUAACUAUAAAUAGAGGCAACAAAGCUGCGCAUAGCGAGAGGUAAGAUUGUAUCACACAUAUUGGUUGCUUGCCUUCUAUCAAGAAACAUUCACGAGGACUCCAAGGUAACAUAUUUACUUUAUAUUGUGUAUGUAGUAAACUAAUAUUUGAUGUGUUCUAACAAAGUUGAAUGUAACUAUUUCAGGUUCAAAUGGCUAAUGUCUGUGACAUUUGUGGUACUGGUGUAAUACUGUGAACCUUAUAUCAUGGACAAGUACCAAAAUUCUGGGCGAUAGUUCCAGACAGUCGUCGUUAUGGGAUUGUGAGUCAACAAUUUUUUUGUUUGUAAUAUGAUAUGUAACUGUAUUAUAUAUCAAAUUGAGGAUUAACUUACUACGUACACUAAUUAUGUAUAGAAUGUACCUUCCUAAGACGUUAAGCAGUUUAGGUACUACAUCGAGCAACGAUAUUUCACAGCCGAGACUUCUCAUGGAUCUAGCUAGAGGAUGUGUGCGAGAGACAAUGGAGAUAGAAUUUGUAUAGAGGGCAUUGGAUGAGAUUGCUUUUGCUACGACUACGAUAUAAGAAGGGGAUACACGAUACAUUUUUGCUACAACUGUAGAGAUACUGUGAUGUAUAUAUCGCCAAUACAUCCAGAUGGUGAACCAAAGGAUAUAAUUAGUAAGUACAUAUUAUUUUAUGUUACUUAUUUCUUUAGUAAUAAUUUUUUAUAAUUAACAAUUGUUCAAUUUUUAAAAUUCAUAAAGAUGACGUAUUUGACGAAGGAGAAAGACCUGUUGCGUACAACAAUAAGUUUAACUGAACACAAAGGCAAGUCGACAACAUGCACACUUUAUUGCAGAUGUAUGCGGACUAUCCUGCGAAGAUCCAUUUCUUUGCAACUGCCAACAUAUAUGGUAAUCAUUGGGUAAGUAAAAUACAAUAUCACCACUUCACAUUUUAAUAAAAUUUAUUCUUUUUUAAUGCAUGUAAUAUAUAGACCAAUAGUUGGGAGGCUUGGUCUACAACAAUAUGGUUCACUUUUACUGAAAUAAGCAGGCAAACACAGCAAUCAAUAGAAGUUGAUUAUCAUUCUAAAAGAGAUGGCCGUCUCGAAAUUAAUGGUCCUGCAUGGAGUAAUUUUGUAAGUCAACAUGAGAUAUAUGUUGAUGUGUGGGUAGUAAUACUUGUUAUUCCUGGAAACAAUAGGCCAGAAGUGACAUUGAGAUUCAAAGCAAUAACAAUAGUUUAAAGGCAAGUAUUAAGUUCUGAUGAAGAUUCUGAUUCGGAAGAUGAAGACUAGAACCAUUUUUUUAUAUAUUGUUUAGAAUAAGUUCUUUUUUAACUAUGUAUUACAAUGAUUUAUAUUUUUUUUUAGAAUAGGUUCUUUUUUAACUAACUACUACAAUUAUUUAUAUAAUUUUUGAGAGUGUGUAUUCCAAUUAUUCAUAUUUAUUUUUAGAGUAUGUGUUCUACAUCAACCAAUAAUACAGAGUACGUAUGGAC